rnacentral:lncRNA from 1 species
CACACCCAUGGUACAUGGAAGUUUCCAGGCCAGAAAUUGAAUCCAAGGCACAGUUGUGACCUACACUGCAGCUGCAGCAACUCCAAAUCCAACUGUGCCAGGCUGGGGAUUGAACCUGUACCUCCACAGUGACCCAAGCCGCUGCAGCUGGAUUCUUAACACACUGUGCCACAGCAGGAACUCCCGCAUUUGGAAAUGUCAGAGGAAACAUUAAAAUGCCAUCGUAUAAAUUUACAUUUUAAAUUUCAACUUAUACAAAACUGACUUGUAUAAAGAAUGAAACAUUUUUAGAAAAAUUGUUCCAUGAAAUUCAUUAACUCUACAUGCACUAAAAUUUUUAUUUCAAAAUAAUUUAUCAGAAAUGUAUCCCAAAUGUUGCCACAGCCUAUAAAAUACUCUAAGCAGCUCCAACAACUGCAUCAGCAGAAAGAUCCUUGUCAAAAUUUAAAAUUAUCAAAAAUUAUUUCUAAUCUUUAUUUCCCAAGAGCAACUAAUGUCUCUUUCAAUUGUAUAAUUGAAAAUAAAAUUGCUGGGAGCUUCUACCACGGUUGAGCGGGUUAAGAAUCUGACUAGUAUCCAUGAGGAUGGGGGUUCAAUCCCUGGCCUCACUCCAUGGGUUUAAGGAUACAGCAUUUCCAUGAGCUGCCAUGUAGGCUGCAGACACAGCUUAGAUCAGGCAUUGCUGUGGCUGCAGUGUAGGCCGGGAGCUGCAGCUCUGAUUCAAGCCCUAGCCUGGAAGCCUGGGAACUUCUAUGUGCUGCAGAUAUAGAAGCUCCCCCACACCAAAAAAAAAAAGAUAAAGAAAGAAAAAAUUGCUAAAGUAACAAAUCAGCAGAAACAAAUCCAACUAGGAACCAUGAGGUUGUGGGUUUGACCCCUGGCCUUGCUCAGUGGGUGAAAGAUCCGGCGUUGCUAUGAGCUAUGGUGUAGGUUGCAGAUGGAGCUCGGAUCUGGUAUUGCUAUGGUUCUGGCGUAGGCCGGCAGCUGUGGCUUCAAUUAGACCCCUAGCCUGGGAAUCUCCAUAUGCCGUGGGCGCAGCCCUAAAAAUAAAAUAAAAUAAAAUAAUUAUGGUACUAAAAAUAUUUUUUGCACUUUGUUCGUUGUAUUGUUACUUGUACAUCCCUAUCACCUCUGAUGUAUUUUAUAAGUCACAAAAUAUUUUUGAAGGAAAAGCUUUAUUGUAAUACUUUUAAUGGCAUUUGUCCCCUGCUUUUUUCAUUUUGCACUGGCUCAGGCCCCUCAAAUUAUAUAGCUUGCCCUGUUCACAAAAAAGGGUAUUUUUUAUGUUUCACCUGGUUAAGAGAACAGCUAUAUUUAUAGAUGUAAUCAAGUCCCUUAAAGCUGUUACAUGGGAGAAGGGGAAAGUUAUGACUCUUAAAAAUGUUCAGCGAAUUCUGCAAGCCCAGCAUUAUAGAAGAUCUUAGUUGGGUGAGGUAGCGGUAUUCACCUUAAAGCUGAAUAAUUCCCUUGCAUUGAUAGCAAAACUGAGGCACCAAACUGUGAUUGUUUCAAGCUCAUAAGUAAUUUAGAGGCAGACUUGGGACUAAAUCUCAAGUCUCUCAAAUCUACCUGGUACCAGUUCCACCACCAGUUCUUUCUGAUUGAUUUAGAAAGUCAGAAAGAGCCCUAGGUAUUUCAAACAGAAUAAUGUGAGUGAUGACCACCAAGGAAGGCCCAUUCAAAGGGGAGGGUGCAAUGGAAGGAAAUACAGCUAUUGCUGAAAGAGAUACUCUGCCUUCUCCUUUCCU